CACGUGGGGCGCAAGCGUUGUCCGGAAUUAUUGGGCGUAAAGAGCUCGUAGGCGGUCUGUUGCGUCCGCUGUGAAAACUCGGGGCUUAACCCCGAGCCUGCAGUGGAUACGGGCAGACUAGAGGUAGGUAGGGGAGAAUGGAAUUCCCGGUGUAGCGGUGAAAUGCGCAGAUAUCGGGAGGAACACCGGUGGCGAAGGCGGUUCUCUGGGCCUUACCUGACGCUGAGGAGCGAAAGCGUGGGGAGCGAACAGG
rnacentral:rRNA from 1 species